rnacentral:lncRNA from 1 species
AUGAAGGCACGUAGGCUAAUAAACCUGGGGCCCUCUGAGCUGUGGCAUCCGUGCCUGUCACUCUCUCCACCCAACCACAGGAGCCCGGAGAAUCACCCAGCCCCUGGGCCUCAGAGCCUCGCCCGGACCCUGCUGCUCCAUGCUCUCCUUCCAGACCAGUGGGCUCUUGGCCUCCUGUUCUAUCUUGAACCCACUCCCACCAGGCUGUUCCCCCACCACUCUGCCCAGAUUCCUCUUGUCAAGGUCACAAAUGGGCUCCAUGUGGCUAAAUCCAAGGUCAGCUCUCGUCCUGCUGUCUCCACAGCAUCCGACACGGAAGAUGGCUCCCUCUGCCUUCCACACUCUCCACGUGGCUCCCAGGACGCCGCGCCCUCUUGGUUUCCCGCCUUCAUCCCAGGACACGCUUCUCAGGUCCCCUUAGCUCCCUGUGCAUCUCCCAGACCUACGUCUGCCUCCCUGUGCUCAGGUCCCAGCUCCUCCGUCUCCUCCACCACUCUGGGCUCGAAGCUCAGAGUCACCGUGCUCCCUGCAUCUCCGCUCACAUGUUCAAGGGCAGCUCAAAGGUGUUGUGCCCCAAUUUCCGGUCUUCCCCUAGAAACCGGCCUGCCCCUCCCACUGCCUCCACCUCAGUCAGUGGCAGCUCUGUCCUUGCAGUGGCUCAGGCCAGACACCUCAGGGUCAUCCUUGACUUCUCAGCUCCUCCAUCAGCAAACCCUGCGGGCUCCAGCAUCAGAAUCCAUCCAUCACCUCCGCCACGUCCACCUUGGUCCCAGCCGCCAGCCUCUCGCACCUGGAUUACUGCAACAGCUUCCUCAGGGGUCUCCUGGCCCCCUCACUCCACUCUCGCCCCCACGGAUUAUCCUCAACUUAGCAGCCAAAAGGGAUUGUUGGAAAACCAAACACAGAUGGUGUCACUCGUCUGCUCAGAACCCUCCGAUGACUUCCCACGUCUCCAGGGAAAAUCAAAGUCCCUCCAUGACCCGAGCUGGGAACCAGGACCCUCUCCCACUGCGCCCCUCACUCCCUCCGCUCCAGCCACACUCCUGCCUCGCCACUUUGCACUUGCUGUUCCCUCCGCCCGGAAUGUUCCACAGCCCGAUGCCUGCUCCUCCCUCGGGUCUUUGCUCAAGUGCCACCUCCUCAGUAAGACCUCCUUGGACCCCCGUUUAA